rnacentral:rRNA from 1 species
GACGUAGGGGGCGAGCGUUGUCCGGAUUUAUUGGGCGUAAAGAGCUCGUAGGCGGUUUGUCGCGUCUGCUGUGAAAACUCGGGGCUUAACUCCGGGCCUGCAGUGGGUACGGGCAGACUAGAGUGCGGUAGGGGAGACUGGAAUUCCUGGUGUAGCGGUGAAAUGCGCAGAUAUCAGGAGGAACACCGGUGGCGAAGGCGGGUCUCUGGGCCGUAACUGACGCUGAGGAGCGAAAGCGUGGGGAGCGAACAGG